GACGAACGCUGGCGGCGUGCUUAACACAUGCAAGUCGAACGGAAAGGCCCUGCUUUUGUGGGGUGCUCGAGUGGCGAACGGGUGAGUAACACGUGAGUAACCUGCCCUUGACUUUGGGAUAACUUCAGGAAACUGGGGCUAAUACCGGAUAGGAGCUCCUGCUGCAUGGUGGGGGUUGGAAAGUUUCGGCGGUUGGGGAUGGACUCGCGGCUUAUCAGCUUGUUGGUGGGGUAGUGGCUUACCAAGGCUUUGACGGGUAGCCGGCCUGAGAGGGUGACCGGCCACAUUGGGAGUGAGAGACGGCCCAGAGGCCUACGGGAGGCAGCAGUGGGGAAUAUUGCACAAGGGGCGGAAGCCGGAUGCAGCAAGGCGGCGUGCGGGAUGAGGGCCGUCGGGGUGUAAACCGCUUUCGCCUGGGACGAAGCGGGAGUGACGGUAAUGGGUAAAGAAGCACCGGCUAACUACGUG
rnacentral:rRNA from 1 species